UCAUGUUAAAUCGGGGCUUUAGCGGCGCCUUGUAACCCUCAAUCCGCUAUAGGGGGGAUGAAAACUUACACUGAGGGAUACGUUUGUUUGGUCUGACCUAUGUAAGUGGCGUUGACGGCUUGGUCUCGCGCAAUCGGAACCUGUGAACCUCGUCAGGGCGGGAACGCAGCAGCGAUAAGCAGUAAUUUCGAUGUGCCGCGAGGGCGCUAAGUUUGAGCUAACUGCAUGGGUAACGCUUGUAGGCGUAUUUCGAAUGUAAGCACAUGA
rnacentral:SRP_RNA from 1 species